CGGCGGUGUUUGGCACCUCGAUGUCGGCUCAUCUCAUCCUGGGGCUGUAGCCGGUCCCAAGGGUAUGGCUGUUCGCCAUUUAAAGAGGUACGUGAGCUGGGUUUAAAACGUCGUGAGACAGUUUGGUCCCUAUCUGCCGUGGGCGUUGGAUAUUUGAAGGGGGCUGCUCCUAGUACGAGAGGACCGGAGUGGACGAACCUCUGGUGUACCGGUUGUCACGCCAGUGGCAUCGCCGGGUAGCUAUGUUCGGAAGAGAUAACCGCUGAAAGCAUCUAAGCGGGAAACUCGCCUUAAGAUGAGAUAUCCCUGGGGACUAGAUCCCCUUGAAGGGUCGUUCGAGACCAGGACGUUGAUAGGUCAGGUGUGUAAGCGCAGUAAUGCGUUCAGCUAACUGAUACUAAUUGCCCGUAAGGCUUGAUCCUAUAACA
rnacentral:rRNA from 1 species